AUCAUUCAUGAUUCAUAAACAUGAUAACUGGUUUUCAUGUGGUUAUGUGAAAUGUACUACCUCACACUUCCUUAGGAGAUGGAUACAUUAUCCAUCUGGAC